UAUAAGUCCUGUACGCGGUCGACAAUUUCACUGGCAACGAAGUGCACAUUUUGGUUUCAAGCGAGACAACGAUUUAUUCACACGUACAGACAUAAAGAUGGAUGAACAGAAUGUACAACGGCCAGACGAAUGUAUGGAGAACAACCGUUAGGCCGCUCGUAAAGUAAAUUAGGAAAGUGGAACUGGUGAAGGAGGAAUCUUUUGUCCCCACACUUAAAUGCCUUUCACUUCAGAUGCGUAGAGACUUACUGGUAAGCAUUUUGGUGACAGCCGGCGCUAUGUUGAUGUCCGUGAGGCAUUCGUAACUUGCAGAAUGGAACAAUCGUAACACAGCGCUA